AAAGAGUCAAGCAUGCAUUGUUAAGACAUUGUUGAUAUCGCAUCAGACGUAGUUAGAAGUGCAAGCGAAUCAAACGUGAAUAAAAGUGCAAGGUUCUAUCAGGAAAUUGCCAGAAUAGAAACAUACAAACUUUGUACAUAAAACGCAAUAAUGUCUCAAAAUCUGAAUUUGAUCUCGUUAACUGUUACAACUGGGACCAAGGUGUGUCUUUACCAGG